CAUAAGAGGUCCUGCCUGCCCAGUGAUAAAAAUUUUAACGGCCGCGGUAUUUUGACCGUGCAAAGGUAGCGCAAUCAAUCGUCUUUUAAAUGAAGACCCGUAUGAAUGGUAAUACGAAAACUCAACUGUCUCAUUCUUUUAACCAAUAAAAUUGAUCUCCCCGUGCGGAAGCGGGGGUAAAAACAUAAGACAAAAAGACCCUGUGGAGCUUCAGAUAAAUCAGCUUAAAGUUUAUUACUUAAUUUAUAAUAAACCUUAAAUUCUGCCUUCAUCUUAGGUUGGGGCGAUCACGGAGAAAAUAUAUCCUCCACGAAGAAAAAAUAUACAUUUUUACAACUAAGAGCUACCACUCUAAAUACUAAAAUAUUUAACUUUAUUGAACCGGCUUGCCGAUUAACGGACCCAGUUACCCCAGGGAUAACAGCGCAAUCCCCUUAAAGAGCACGUAUUACUAAGGGGGCUUACGACCUCGAUGUUGGAUCAGGGCAUCCUAGUGGCGCAUCUGCUAUUAAUGGUUCGUUUGUUCAACGAUUAAAGCCCUACGUGAUCUGAGUUCAGACCG
rnacentral:rRNA from 1 species